rnacentral:rRNA from 1 species
GAACCUUACCAGGCCUUGACAUGCAGAGAACUUUCCAGAGAUGGAUUGGUGCCUUCGGGAACUCUGACACAGGUGCUGCAUGGCUGUCGUCAGCUCGUGUCGUGAGAUGUUGGGUUAAGUCCGUAACGAGCGCAACCCUUGUCCUUAGUUACCAGCACGUUAUGGUGGGCACUCUAAGGAGACUGCCGGUGACAAACCGGAGGAAGGUGGGGGAUGACGUCAAGUCAUCAUGGCCCUUACGGCCUGGGCUACACACGUGCUACAAUGGUCGGUACAAAGGGUUGCCAAGCCGCGAGGUGGAGCUAAUCCCAUAAAACCGAUCGUAGUCCGGAUCGCAGUCUGCAACUCGACUGCGUGAAGUCGGAAUCGCUAGUAAUCGUGAAUCAGAAUGUCACGGUGAAUACGUUCCCGGGCCUU